UGAGGAAUAUUGCACAAUGGGCGCAAGCCUGAUGCAGCAACGCCGCGUGCGGGACGAAGGCCUUCGGGUCGUAAACCGCUUUUCUGGGGAAAGAGCAAGGACGGUACCUCAGGAAUAAGUCUCGGCUAACUACGUGCCAGCAGCCGCGGUAAAACGUAGGAGGCGAGCGUUAUCCGGAUUUACUGGGCGUAAAGCGCACGCAGGCGGCUCUGUGAGUCGGACGUGAAAGCUCCCGGCUUAACCGGGAGAGGCCGUUCGAUACUGCGGGGCUUGAGGUAGGGAGAGGAAUGCGGAAUUCCCGGUGUAGUGGUGGAAUGCGUAGAUAUCGGGAGGAACACCUGUGGCGAAAGCGGCAUUCUGGCCCUCACCUGACGCUGAGGUGCGAAAGCGUGGGUAGCAAA
rnacentral:rRNA from 1 species